UACGUAGGGUGCAAGCGUUAAUCGGAAUUACUGGGCGUAAAGGGCUCGUAGGCGGCCAACUAAGUCGGAUGUGAAAUCCCCAGGCUUAACCUGGGAACUGCAUCCGAUACUGGAUGGCUUGAAUCCGGGAGAGGGAUGCAGAAUUCCAGGUGUAGCGGUGAAAUGCGUAGAUAUCUGGAGGAAUACCGGUGGCGAAGGCGGCGACUCCUGGACCGGCAUUGACGCUGAGUGAGCGAAAGCCAGGGGAGCAAACGGG
rnacentral:rRNA from 1 species